GGAUCAAGUAGAAAGGGCGCAAGGUGGAUGCCUUGGCACAGGCCGGCGAUGAAGGACGUGGCAAGCUGCGAUAAGCCGGGGGGAGCUGCACGCAAGCGUUGAUCCCUGGAUUUCCGAAUGGGGAAACCCGGCCGGGGUAAUGCCCGGUCAUCCCCGGGGUGAAUACAUAGCCCUGGGGAGGCGAACCGAGGGAACUGAAACAUCUAAGUACCUCGAGGAAGAGAAAACAACCGUGAUUCCCUAAGUAGCGGCGAGCGAACGGGGAAGAGCCCAAACCGUGCGGGUGCAGAAGGCGGCAGCCGUUGCCCGUACGGGGUUGUAGGGGCGGCUCGGGAAGAUCUGCCGGUCUUCCGGGUCUGAUCGAUCGUGUGAGCCGAAGUCGGCUGGAAUGCCGCGCCGCAGGAGGUGAAAGCCCUGUAGGCGAAGCGCGACGAGAGGCCUGGAGCCGUUUCCUGAGUAGGCCGGGACACGAGGAAUCCCGGUCGAAGCUGGCAGGACCAUCUGCCAAGGCUAAAUACGAGCCUGUGACCGAUAGUGAACUAGUACCGUGAGGGAAAGGUGAAAAGUACGCCGGGAGGCGGGUGAAAUAGAUCCUGAAACCUUGUGCCUACAAGCAGUGGGAGGAGCGCGCGUGCCCUCGGGUGCGACGCGACUCUGACCGCGUGCCUUUUGCAUUAUGAUCCGGCGAGUUCGUCCUCGUGGGCGAGGUUAAGCCGUUCAGCGGCGAAGCCUUAGCGAAAGCGAGUCUUAACUGGGCGUGGGCCCCUUCGGGGGCCGUUCAGUCCGCGGGGCGAGACCCGAAACCAGAGUGAUCUAUCCAUGGCCAGGCUGAAGCGAGGGUAAUGCCUCGUGGAGGGCCGAACCGGUGUGGGUUGAAAACUGCUCGGAUGAGCUGUGGAUAGGGGUGAAAGGCCAAUCAAACCUGGAGAUAGCUGGUUCUCCCCGAAAGAUAUUUAGGUAUCGCCUCUGAGUGUAGACUGCGGGAGGUAGAGCACUGGAUGGGCCCGGGCCCUUACCGGGGUACUAAUCCCAACCAAACUCCGAAUGCCCGUUAGUUGGUCUCAGGGAGGCAGGGCGUGGGCGAUAAUGUCCAUGCGCGAGAGGGAAAGAACCCAGACCCUCAGCUAAGGUCCCCAAGUGCUGGCUAAGUGAGAAAGGAUGUGGAUUUGCGCGGACAACUGGGAGGUUGGCUUAGAGGCAGCCAUCCUUGAAAGAGUGCGUAAUAGCUCACCAGUCAAGCGGAUCUGCGCCGAUAAUUGCCGGGACUCAAGUCAGCCACCGAAGCUAGGGCUGCGAACCUCCUGAGGGCGGUUCGUGGGGUAGGGGAGCGUUGUCUGGGCAUCGAAGCGGGGCCGUGAGGCCUGGAGGUCUAAUCCCCUCCUUAGCCCGUGGAGCGCAGACAAGUGAGAAUGCCGGAAUGAGUAGCGAGAAACGGGGUGAGAACCCCCGUCGCCGAAAGCCCAAGGUUUCCUGAGCCAUGCCGAUCAGCUCAGGGUUAGUCGGCUCCUAAGGUGAGGCCGAGAGGCGUAGCCGAUGGGAAACGGGUCAAUAUUCCCGUACCGCGAGUAGCUCGCUUGAACGUGAGGAGGGACGCAGAGGUGAAAGGUCCGUCGGGCUUGGAUUGCUCGAUGUAAGGAGGUAGGCGUUUCUGGAUAGGCAAAUCCGUCCGGAUAGCCGAGAUCCGAUACCGAAGGGGGCUUCGGCUCCCGUCAAGGGACCGUAAUCGUACUGCCGAGAAAAGCUUCGCACGUGAGAGUUGCACGCGACCGUACCGCAAACCGACACAGGUGGGCGAGGCGAGAAGCCUCAGGCGCUCGAGUGAGUCUUGGUCAAGGAACUCGGCAAAAUGUCCCCGUAACUUCGGGAGAAGGGGAGCCCGCGGUAGGUGAACCCUCUAGCAGGGGGAGCCGAAACGGGCCGCAGAGAAUCGGCCCAAGCGACUGUUUAUUAAAAACACAGUUGUCUGCGAUGUCGUCAAGACGACGUAUAGGCACUGACGCCUGCCCGGUGCCGGAAGGUUAAAUUGAGGGGUUAGGAUUCGUCCGAAGCUCUGAAAUGAAGCCCCGGUAAACGGCGGCCGUAACUAUAACGGUCCUAAGGUAGCGAAAUUCCUUGUCGGGUAAGUUCCGACCUGCACGAAUGGCGUAACGAGUUGACUGCUGUCUCCUCCGUAAGC
rnacentral:rRNA from 1 species